rnacentral:rRNA from 1 species
CCAGCGAACUUGGCAGAGAUGCCUUGGUGCCUUCGGGAACGCUGAGACAGGUGCUGCAUGGCUGUCGUCAGCUCGUGUUGUGAAAUGUUGGUUAAGUCCCGCAACGAGCGCAACCCUUAUCCUUUGUUGCCAGCGAUUCGGUCGGGAACUCAAAGGAGACUGCCGGUGAUAAACCGGAGGAAGGUGGGGAUGACGUCAAGUCAUCAUGGCCCUUACGAGUAGGGCUACACACGUGCUACAAUGGCGCAUACAAAGAGAAGCGACCUCGCGAGAGCAAGCGGACCUCAUAAAGUGCGUCGUAGUCCGGAUCGGAGUCUGCAACUCGACUCCGUGAAGUCGGAAUCGCUAGUAAUCGUGGAUCAGAAUGCCACGGUGAAUACGUUCCCGGGCCUUGUACACACCGCCCGUCACACCAUGGGAGUGGGUUGCAAAAGAAGUAGGUAGCUUAACCUUCGGGAGGGCGCUUACCACAUUGUGAUUCAUGACUGGGGUGAAGUCGUAACAAGGUAAGCGUAGCGAG